GUGGCUAAUCGCGUCUGUCUGUUAAAGGUAGCAGGUUGUACAUGGCGAGCGGGUUACUCACUGAGGGCUGGUGAUUGGUGUAAUGGAAGCCGUCACUGAACCACAUUUAAUGACGGAGAACUACAGAAGUGGAGAGAAAACGCAGCACUGAACAGCUUGUAGACUUCACACCCAACUGUAGGUGGUGUCCAAAGCCCCUGGUGGUGGCAGUGCAUGGCGUUUGUGUGGAAGCAGGUCUGUUGGGAGUGUUAAGUACCAUCAUCUCAUACACUCGGCAAACAAUAUGGAUGGAACUUUCCAGAGUUGUGGUGUCACUUUUCCUGCAAAGCUUUAACCAUCAGAGAGUUAUCUUUUACUGGGGCUUUUAGUUGCAGGAGACUGAAUUACUAACAGUUGUGUGUUCCCUGAUGGUCAAUGAUUGCUGGGGCUCUGGAAAUAGCAGUUGAGAUUGUAGGCCGGAGUCCCGUUGCUGUCCAGGGAACCAAAAUCAACCUCCUCUACUCCUGAGAUAACAGUGUGACUGAGAGCCUAGACUACAUGGCUACUUGGAACAUGAACAUGUUGCAGACACAGGAUCUUAUGAAGUCAGCGCAGACAGCCCUGGAAAAGAAGAGUCCGAAAGACAUGCCCUUCUCCAAGCUUUAAAGGAGAAGAUCCAGGGCUGUUGAAGCUGCGGUGGAACUGAGACUUCAUCAUCCACAGAUCUUUAGUUCUUCUUGCUAAGUCUCAGUUUCUUUUUAGUCUUUUUAUUUUUAGACUGGUCAAAAGACCGAACAGUGGAAGUGGAAUGAUAAAUGAACUUGCUUGAUUAUUUUCAGGUGCUUUGUACAGUAAGACAGGGUAACUAAUACUCAAAAGCCUGUUUUGUGUGUUCUAGUAGAUGUACAUUUUCUUUCUGGUGCUGUGUGACUGCAGAAUGUAGUGCAGUUAACACAUUAAAUUUCCUUGGAUGCUCACUUUUAACUCGAGGUGGUCAGUUUGCCCAGCCUUUUUUUUUUUUUUUUUUUUUUUUUUUUUUUUAAAUCAGUCACCCACACGUCAUUCUGGGGGACGAAGAGGAGGAAUCUGGACAGAUAAAUUUAUUUAUUUAUCAUUGCUGUGUUUCCUCAGUUGAGUGCAGAAAGAAGAGAAACAGAACUGAUUUAAAAUAAAAAUAUAGAAAACAAUCUAAUGUAAGGUUCUGAUCCGGUUUGCUUUCAGCAGGAAGGCUGUCCUCCUUCCUGUUGCUCUUUCUCUUCUAUUAGUCAUUUGUCCAGUCUGAAUCGGUUUGAUUUGUUUCAAGAUGAUUUGGAGUCGAAUAAUUUUCUAGUGAGAGUCGCACACUUCCAAACGAACUAGACUGAGAUGAGUAUUUGAUUCUCACUAGAAAGUGAUUCGACUCUGAAUCAACUCCAAAAUGAAUCAGUCAAACUGAUUCAGACUCUAUAAAAGGACUAUGAGAUGUGAUUAAGAUAUAUAUUCCAAUGUUUUGCUUUACAAUUCCUGUGUGUUUCAGGAGAACGAGAAACUCGGACAUGAGUACAUCCUGACCAUUGGUACUGUGUACACAUCAACAUACACACGUCUCCAUGCUGGACAUCUCAGGUGCUUUCACACACAGUGCUAGGAAUAUCCCGGGACAGAGAAAUGCACCUCCUAAGUGAGCGAGUUGAGUUUAGUGUCAACCGGUGAAAUUUGCUGUAGCGUGAACACUUCGCCUCUGUCAGCUUCACUCUCUGUCAGGUUCACUGUAAUUAGACAUAAAAUGUACAUAAUGUUUAUUUUUCAUACAUUUAGGAUUCAAUGGUUUUUUUUGUGUGGGGUUGUCCCCCCCCCCCCCCCCCCCUUGUUUCCUCUACUGUCUUUUUGCUGUGAUCUUGAACACAGUUGUAAUUUAAAAAAAAAAAUAAAUAAAUAAAUGAUCAUUCUAGUUCUCUCACUUUCCUUGUCCUAAUUGUCCUGUAUCUGUUAAAUCCGUUUCAUCUCUGGUCUUUCUGUCUGUAUGAACACUUGUAGAAAUGACAUGUAGUCCAUAUUUUUAAAUUAUUCAUGAUUUUUAAUUUAAAUAAAGAUUCUUUAAUUCUGUAUUUUGUCAUUUAAUUAUCAUUAGAAAUCAGAAUCAGAUUAAAGCCACAGCUUCUUUACCUGCGGAAGCUGUAAAACUUUCAAUAAACCAGUCAAUAGAUCAACUGAAUAAAUGUAGAUUUUUAAUUUAUUGAUGAGAUGUAUUGAUGGUGUUGAUAGAUUAUUUGAAGAGUUUUUAUUGAUCUUGGACAACCAAAACUACAAAUAAAAUCUAUUUAUAUCUGUGUACAAUUAAAAACCUCACUUAACACAAGAAAUUCAUAUCCUAAAUGUUGCAAGUGAUUAAUCUGAUCAUUUUAUUCAGCUGUUUAAUUAUUACUUUCUAAAUAAUAAAUGAAUGUUCUGGAUUCAUGAGGAAUGUUUACAUUUUGUGUCCAAACUCAAAAGUUUAAACAAAGUGUAUAUUUAUGAUGAUAAAGCACAAAGAACGUGAAACCUCAACACGACUACAAUCAUCGAUGAAUUAAAUAUUAAUUAAACAAGAGUAAGAUUAAGUAUAUUUUUAAUUAAAAUGUCAUUAGAAAGGAGCACUUUUAAAGUGGAUUUGAUUUAAAAUAAUGAUAAAGCUGUUUUUUUUCUAUGUAUUUCUAUAUCUUAUCCUCUAUCGUGUUUAAGAAGAGAAUAAUGAAGCUUUUUAUGAAAUAAUAUUUGGGUUUAUUUUAUUUUC